UGUAAAUGUUGUCAUUAUCUUAUAACCGGAUCACUUGGAUAGAGACAUUUGGAUGGAGCAGAGAUGAUCAGAAUGUCAAGAUCUACCUAUACUACUUAUUUUUGACUGAAACUGUCAGACGUUUAUUUGUAUGAGCUAUAUUGCGCUUUUAAAGAUUUUUUUAUUUUAUUUUGACUUUUACCUGUUAAAUUAUAAUACAUUAUAAUAGAUAGAGAACAAAUAA
rnacentral:lncRNA from 1 species